UACGUAGGGUGCAAGCGUUAAUCGGAAUUACUGGGCGUAAAGCGUGCGCAGGCGGUUGUGCAAGACAGAUGUGAAAUCCCCGGGCUCAACCUGGGAAUGGCAUUGGUGACUGCACGGCUAGAGUGUGUCAGAGGGGGGGUAGAAUUCCACGUGUAGCAGUGAAAUGCGUAGAGAUGUGGAGGAAUACCGAUGGCGAAGGCAGCCCCCCUGGGGAUA
rnacentral:rRNA from 1 species